rnacentral:pre_miRNA from 1 species
GACAUACUCCCUCCGUUCCAAAUUACUCGUCGCAGAAAUGGAUGUAUCUGGAACUAAAAUACAUCUAGAUACAUCCAUACCCGCGACAAGUAAUUUGGAACGGAGGGAGUAUAUA